GCCAUGGUGAUGCAGGGUGGCUCCCAUCACUUAAGGGUAGUGUCACUAAUCUUAAUAACAUCUAUAACAUGUUAUGUUGUAACGUGGCCAGAAAAUGUUAGGGACAUGACUAAGAACAUGAAGAGGGUCUCUUAGCUAAGAUUAAAGAAACAUGAUCUGUAAAUCUUAUACAGUGAAAUCUCUUCUGCUGAGUUGUCUGUCUGAAAGGUGGUUAUAAUGCCAUCCAGGGAGAUGUUAGUGUUAAAAGAGAUCUUUUUUUCCCCAGCAGUUAUCUCUGGCAGAACAACCUGGGCUCAGCUCCAGGCCAGUUCUUUCCGUAUUGGUCAUCCUCUCUAGCAGAUUCUGCAAGUCUAAUUAGCAACACAGGCAUUGGCCCUUUUGUUGGCAUAAGGAUGUUGUGACCUUCAGUGAUCCUUUGUACCCUUCUGGUGACACCCAUGCAGCUUGGUGGCUUUCCAAGAGCCUGAGCAGUUGGGAAAGCAGCAGAGAGUCCUGUUGCUGGUGCUCCAGAUCUCAGCUCUUUCCUGUAGGAGUUUUGACACUGUGGAUUUAGCAGGAGUAAAAAGCUUUGCAAACCCUGCAGGAUUUGCACAUGGUUGACUGCAAACCGUGAACAGGUCUGCAAGUUCUGCCUCAUGAGAGAAUGGCUACCUUGAGGCACCUGCAGUGCCAAAAAAUUGUGACAGAGGAUGUCUCUGACCCUGCAGCCCCCUACCCUGUUCACUGUAUCAGGAGUGCAAAGGUUGUGGAUUUGGCUAAGUGAAAGAACAAGCCCUGGAGCUGAAAAAGGGCUGAGCAAAUGGUGAGCUUUUAUUUGAAGGCAUAGUUCAAACCAAGUGAAUCUCUUUGGAUGAAACUAACAUUUGCACAAAGGCACCAUCCAGAGAAUCAAGCCAGAAGCCUGUGUAUUGCCUUCGUCAGCUGCACCAUGAGAAUCCGGAGCAAAGCUGGACAUGCCUGUGAGGGACAGCAAGAUUCUGGCAGUGCACCCGUGGUGGCAGGUCUCUACAGCAGGUGCCUGCACUGCCUGCCAACACCCGUGGCUGACACUGAGCUCUGGCAGUAGGGCAAGCAGAUGGUCUUGUGCCUCUAAAGGGCUUCUGGAGGCUAGGAAGGCCAUGAGUGCAAAUCAAGCCACCCUGAGCAUCUUGGGGUGCUGUGGAACCAGCUUUUUCCACUUCAAAUAAAUUUCCCCCAUCAACCUCCAGUGAGCUAUGUGGGUCUCUUCAGAAGACAAAAGCAGCAGUGAAAGAAUGGAUUUCCAUCCUGGUCCUUACCACAGGUCUUAUGGAGCAAGAGGUGACAGUGCCCAGUGAAGAGUAACAAGGUAAAUUUCUGUAACUUCUGCUUAAUAGAUAGUCAGGACUGAGCCUUGAGUCCUGAAGGGAAGGGAAACAGUGCUAAUAAAAAAAUGUUCAGGAGCAAUCUUCACUGCAAGCUUUUUCUGAUGUUCUAUAGCAAGCCCUCUUCCUCAGUUUUUCUUUCAGGAUCUAAAUUCUGUGAUGAAAAUGGACCUUGAGUUUGACUGAAAUGCAAAGGAACAGUGCCUAUUUCAAAACUGUCUCAUGUGAUCAGCAUCUUAAGAUACAGGGAACUAUAUGGGAGCACAAGAGGACUGGCUGUACCUCUAAUACAAGGUGUUCUGCCAAAGACAGAUGCCCAGACAUAUUGGGCCAACAUGAUCUCCCACUGCUGGGCUGCAACGGAGACCAUGACCACAAUCCCAGGAGGUCAACUGGAGAAACUCUGUGUGCAGCAUCUGUGUGAGGACUGUGCAAGCACUUCACCCAGUCCUGGUGACAACCCUCAAAAAGCAGUGAAGGGACAUGGGAAUAGAAGCAAAUGACUGAGUCAAGGUUUGGGAAACAUCCUACACUGAGAAAUAUCAGCAGCUUAGACUUAUUAAUAUAUCUAAGAGGAGAUGAAGAGAGGGCUUGAUCCAUCUAGAUGGAGAAGAGACAAGCUAGCAUAGACUAGGAGAAAAUGGAUGGAAGCCAAAGGCAAAAAUUAUUUGCAAGCCUAUUCUGAGUUUAUCUGACACUGUAGGUAAUUAUCCAAAAUUAGGUGUUUGGUGUACAAUUCAUGCAGAAGGCUUUGUUGCUUGAGCUUAGCAGUAAAUCCGAUGGAUGACCAUGAUUGUCCUUUUUAACCUUGCAAAUUAUAAGUCUGUUAAAACCACUGGUCUCUCGUGGCCUAUCCCAUCACAGGGGAAAGUGAGCACUGUACUGGGCACUACUGUUCUGCACCCAGUCCUGAUGGACAACCCCUAUGACCAUGCACCAGAACAGGUCCUCUCUCCCCAUCAGCCCUCCUCAGCAUCAGUGCUGCUUUGCUUAGGCAGGAAUAGGCCAGAAAUUACUUCCCAGGCCAGCAUGGCCACUCUGGGAGGGCAGUGAACUCAGCUUCUCAGAUCCUCAAUACGUUGGGGCUUUCUGAUGGGCUUGUCCUAUCCCAGUCACAGCAUAUAUACAAAGCACAGGUGAAGAAGUGGUUUCUGAGUGUACUGAAUAAAUACUUAUUUUCCAUUUUCA